GAUCCUGAAACUGAAAGUUACCCCCUGCCCAUGAUCCAUCAGCUUUCUUCAAGAUCACUUCCAUCAUAGCCACUUGGUUGUUGGGUACCUUAACAGCAAGCAGGCGGCACUGUUCAAAAGAAUGAUUUGGGAAGCAAUGAACAAGGACUAUGAUAAGGGGAAGAGUAGAAAACGAGCCAGAAUGGCCAAGAAAGCUGCUCCUGCUAAAAAGCCAGAAAAGGCUGUCAAAGUUUCUACUGUGAUGGAUACU